AUGCCCUUUCGUCGCCGUGUUGGACGCCGCCGUUCCUCGCUGACAUGGUGCCUACUGCCUAGCCAAGCUUCUGCUGCCGUCCCCAGCAUCUGCCGCCGCGUUGGAUGCCGCCGUUCGUCGCUCACUUGGAGGCAUAAGCAGGUAGCAGCUGGAGCAAUAAUGCAUGAUCCUUUCGUGCACAAGCUUGUGGAUGCAUGUGCAGACAAGAUGGAGGCCAAGAAUGCUGAUGUUCUCCAGACUGCAGUUGCUGAUAUUACUGCAGUGAUGGACGACAAGCACAAAUCUCUAGAGGCAGCAGCGGAGCUCCAGCUUAGUUGCAUUCGUAUGAUAGGCAACAUCGGGAAGGGUGUGUUGGCUCUGCUAGACGUGAUCCUUGGUCUUGUCGUGUACUGUCUGUACGCGCUGUGGGCCAAAGCCAAUGAGAUCGCAAACUUAGCGCUGGGAAGAGCGGUCAAGUUUGUGCUCAACUUGUUUGGUAGUAAGUCAGGUUAA
rnacentral:rRNA from 1 species